rfam:Triticum aestivum genome assembly, contig: Triticum_aestivum_CS42_TGACv1_scaffold_091966_1DS
AGAUGCGAUAAUACCAGCACUAAAGCACCGGAUCCCAUCAGAACUCCGAAGUUAAGCAUGCUUGGGCGAGAGUAGUACUAGGAUGGGUGACCUCUGAAGUUAAGCGUGCUUGGGCGAGAGUAGUACUAGGAUGGGUGACCUCCUGGGAAGUCCUUGUGUUACAUUCC